GACUCCGCCAACCGUUCGAGAAAACUCUUGGGAAUGACAUUUGUAAAAUAUAAGUGAUAUUCAGCGUAUUUAGGAUCUCGUAGCUCUUCGCAUAAAAGACGAAGGGUAGUUGGAGUAGGACGUAAGAAAGCCACACACUUGAGAUGUCUCAACUUUUCACGUUUAUUACCGAGUAAGCUAAAGUCAACAUUAGCAUAAGUAUUAGAAAAACAACUAUUAACUGUACACUGUUAAAUAAAUCUGCUGCUCCAGCAAAUUUGAUUGGGUUAUACAUGAAGAUACAAUUUUUGUGGUGUCCUCUUCAAGCAACAGAAUUUUCAAAUCCGAGACUUCCUGAAAUAUACGCUUAAAGUAAGAUUGGGAAGCUGAUACUAAAUCCAUGAAUUUUAUGCAAUUGACUUAAAUUCGUAUAAAGGUGAUACCAAGUGACCACAAAUUUACGAACGUGUUCAAAUAGGAAGACUACAGGGAGUCAGGCUAACUCUUGAUUAUGAAAAAUGUUGAAGAAUAGCCAACACUGGAAUUAGAAGGAAUAGUUAAACG